rnacentral:lncRNA from 1 species
UGAGCCUGGGAAGUCAAGACCACUGCACUCGAGCUUGGGUAACAGGAAUGAGAUCCUGUCUCAAAAUAAAUAAAUAAAUAAAGAAAGAACGAACAAACAGGAGUAGGCUGGCAAAGAUUCAGGGAGGGGCAUUCCAGGCUGAGGGAAAAUGUCCAAUUGUCUAAUACAUGCGUAGCAGUGGGUGGAAAGAGAAUGCUUAGCAAAAGAGUCAAGUCAUUGUCAAGCGCAUUGUACUGAGCUGUCUAGGGAAACUGACCCCACGUGAUGCUCUGGGAGGACCAGCUGCACUUGAAUUCUGCAGCCACCACCAUCACUACCACAGUCGACUCCUCGUGGCCCCCACACCCACUGGAGCUGGC